UUGACGGGGCCCGCACAAGCGGUGGAGCAUGUGGUUUAAUUCGAUGAUACGCGAGGAACCUUACCUGGGCUCGAACGUAAGAUGACUGUAGGUGAAAGCUUACAUCUCUUCGGAGCAUUUUACGAGGUGCUGCAUGGUUGUCGUCAGCUCGUGCCGUGAGGUGUCGGGUUAAGUCCCAUAACGAGCGCAACCCUACCUUUAGUUGCCAUCAGGUAAUGCUGGGGACUCUAAAGGAACUGCCUACGCAAGUAGUGAGGAAGGCGGGGAUGACGUCAAAUCAGCACGGCCCUUACGUCCAGGGCUACACACGUGCUACAAUGGCCGAUACAGAGGGCAGCUACCUGGUGACAGGAUGCAAAUCUCCAAAGUCGGUCUCAGUUCGGAUCGGAGUCUGCAACCCGACUCCGUGAGGUUGGAUUCGCUAGUAAUCGCGCAUCAGCCAUGGCGCGGUGAAUACGUUCCCGGGCCUU
rnacentral:rRNA from 1 species